rnacentral:hammerhead_ribozyme from 1 species
AUGCUGAUGAAGAGUCCCAAACUAGGACGAAACAGUUGUCCAGUAC